GUUCACUGCCGGAUAGGCAGCUCAGAAA
rnacentral:other from 21 species